UCACGCCUCCCUCCAGCCCCGCUGUCAGUCCCCUCGCGCGGGUUCCCCUAAGGCUCCCGGAGGCCGCGGCCAGGCGCCGAGUGGCCUCGGGGACAGAGCCCGGGACGCAGGCGGGGAAAGCGGAGGCGGGGCGGGAGCGCUUCCCUAUCCCCAGCACCCUCCCCGCCCCGGCCCCGCCCCCGCCCCGGCCAGACCAGCUCCCUCCCGCGGCCACCGUCUGAGCUCGCCACUCCAGAACUGCCCCGCGCGCUCGGGGCGCACCAUGGCGCGGCUGGCCGUCCUCGCGCUGCUGCUUGUCGGUCUGUUCUGCUCUCUGGCGCCCGCCCAGGAUGAAGAUUUUGAUUUAUCCGAUGCUAUUCCUGACAAGGAUGACAAGAAACCCACCCAUGCGCCACCCAAAAAGCCCCCCUCGGCUGAUGAUGGCUUCAACUUAGAAGACGCCCUGACUGGUGGAGGAAAAAAUGACCCAGCCAAGCCGAAGCCGAAUCCGAAACCUGGCUCCUCUGAUGGUUUCUCAGAUUCUGACCCCUCUGACAGGACUUCAGAUGGAAGUGACCUCACGGCAAUGCUCUCCGGAAUCACGGUGCCCGCGGUUGUGGCGGUGCUAGGGGCCAUCUCCAGUUUCAUCGCUUACCAGAAAAAGAAGCUGUGCUUCAAAGAAAGCAGUGCUGAUGUUUUAUAAAAUCACGAUGGCAGCCACAUCAGAUUUUCCAGCAGAUGAAAAUGAUGUCAACAUGGAAAACCAUCCCAUCACCAAAGCCAAGCCACUGAUUCCGUGAACUCUUCUGGAGAAAUAGAGCUCUGCAAGCAAAACCAAACCGGACUUCACAGCAGGAUCGGACAACGAGCCUUCUGCUCAUUCCCAGCGAACAUCUUGCAGGCAGAGGCACGUCUACUCACGUCGGAUCCUUUCAUUUUAACCUUGAGCUCUGUCUCCCCUGUUACAGUGCAGUGAGGUUUCCUUACCAUGAAUUUUGCAACCAGAGGGAACUUGAGCUCAUUCCCCAAGGCUCGUGGGGGUUCUUCGUGGGAUGUGAGGGGUUGACCUUUAUAAAGCCCCAGGUGCUCAAAUAACAACCCAAGUCAAUGCAGUGACCCAGGGUCAUUUACUAAUUAUAUCAAUAUUGAACACAUCUGAAAUUUCCAUACAAUUGAUCUUUUAUAAAGUAAGGUAAGCCUUCGGUGUGUUUCCUCAAAAUUUCUUUUAUUUGUUAAGAUUUUUCAUACCAGACUAAUUAGAAAUUGGAAAUUUGCUUUUUACUUACAUGUUUUGCCAUUUGGUGAUGUUUAAAGAAGGCUGUAGAAAGUAGUGGCGUGUGGAUUCCACGUUCCCUUUAUAGAGGCUUUUAGAGGAAGGAUCAAACUGAGUGCUAGCUCUUUAGUUUCAGGGUUUCCUUUCUCUGCCCUUUUCUUUCUAACUGUCCUGCCACCUCAGGGACAGGUACACCCCCACAUCCAGCUACUCCCCACAUCCAGAGACUACUCCCUACACCUAGAUAGUCCCUGCAUCCAGAUACUCCUCCCACAUUCAGAUACUCCCACACAUCCAGCUACUCCCCACACCCAGAUACUCUCCUGCAUCCAAAUUUCCCCACAUCCAGAUACCCCUGCACUCAGACACACCCCUGCACACAGAUACUCCCCCCAUAUUCAGAUACUCCCCUGCCUUCUUAUGGAUUUCAUGCCAAUAAAUGUCAUGGAUUUGUCAACUGCACAGUCUUUACUAAAUGUUCAAUAACUUUGAUGUGAGAGUGUGGUUUAACUACACAGUAAAGUCGCUUUGUGACAGAGGAUCUCUUUAUACAGUUUCUAACAUGCCGGAAUUAGCUGAAAGCAUCGUUUUCUCCAUGCAGUAAAGGAUGGCUUUUCCUCAUUUAGAAGCAUUUCUCCAUGUAAGGUUAGGGCUACACAGCAAGGCUUUUCAAAUCCGUGUUUUUAUGUGAAGGCUUGGGAAGGGCCUCAUUUUGAAUUCUGUUUUAAUUUUAUAAAGGAUAGAGGCUCUGAUAUUCCCCAGUAGAGUUGACCUCAUCAAUAAGCUUUUCUUCCCUGAAGAUUUAGGAUCUUGUCAGGGAUGCUUCCAUGUUUAUAGACAAGCUAAUGCAAAGUCUUAGAAGGCUGUUAUACAGAGGCAUAACAAUUUCAGCAAAAUGCUUAAUGUUAUCACUGAUGAUAGUGUAAAAAGCUGAUGUAUGUCACCAAAGUCAGGGUUCACUAAAAUCAGACCUGCUUUGGUGGUUAGCACAAAUCAACUGAAUUUGGGAAGGGGUAAGGUUGGUGGGCAGAGCUGUUGGUCUUGAAUAAAUUUUGGGCCCAUGAAAUGGGAAAAAAAAUGGAUUGAAAACCCCAUUUAUUUGUGUGGUCAUCCAUUCAUUAUUUCAGUCAACAAAUACCCGGCACCCCCUAGGGGCCAGGUGAGCACAGAGAUGCACCUGACAUUCUAGAUUCCACUGGAUGUAACAGAAGUUUCGCAGGUAUCUUCCCUGGUCCAUCAGCCAACAUGCAACGGGGUUGCCCAGCCGUCAGCAGGCUUUAGGCUGGAUUAGAAACAUGCUCCAGGCCUUUUGCUAACUAGCAACAAACACAUUUUAUAAAAGUAAAGGAGCGUGUGCAGAGUCUUCUCAAAUGAAUUGUUAGGGAUUGUCUUCUAGCUCUGAUCCUGUACAUGGGCUUACUUUAUAAUUACAAAAAAAAUGCAUAAAGCCUACUUUGUCAUUCUUUGAAUAACAUUGACAUUUUAUAAGCAUUGAAAUCAUGUUAUGAACAUGCAUGUCUCAAAGUAAAAAGCAGAAUGGUAAAAGGAUUGGUAUUUUUUAAAGGAUUCCAAUUUUGGAUCAUGUAUAAAUAAAAAUAUAUGAUUAGGAAAUA